CAGCCGCCGCGGUAAUACCGGCGGCCCGAGUGGCGGCCACUAUUAUUGGGCUUAAAGCGUCCGUAGCCGGGUUGGUUAGUCUCCCGGGAAAUCUGGCCGCUUAACGGUCAGAAUUCCGGGAGAUACUGCCAGCCUAGGGACCGGGAGAGGCCGAGGGGAUUCCCGGAGUAGGGGUGAAAUCCUAUAAUCCCGGGAGGACCACCUGGGGCGAAGGCGCUCGGCUGGAACGGGUCCGACGGUGAGGGACGAAGGCCAGGGGAGCAAACCGGAUUAGAUACCCGGGUAGUCCUGGCUGUAAACGAUGCGGACUUUGUGUCGGACAAGCUAUGAGCUUGUCCGGUGCCGGAGGGAAACCGUUAAGUCCGCCGCCUGGGGAGUACGGCCGCAAGGCUGAAACUUAAAGGAAUUGGCGGG
rnacentral:rRNA from 1 species